AUCGAGUUAGUUGGCUUUUAGUGAAACACUGACUAUGUCUCUUGUUUCUCGAAGGUUGGAUCUGCCUCAGCCAUCUAACAAGGGAGACAGGUCCAUUUAAAAGUCUGAACAUCAGCAUUUCCUGAGAAUGGCAGAGAAGCGUCAGGUCUAGACUUUUGUGCUCAGAACCUGGAAUAAGAGAACUUCAGAUUCCGAGGCGUGUAUGCUAUGCACAGAAGUACAACUGAAACUGAAGAGAGUAAAGCAUUUCAACAAGGAUAAAAACUGACGUGAUCAAUAUGGGACAUUCCAGUUAAGCCUGGCAAACUCUCGGACAACCAGACAAGUUUUCUAGCAACACACAUAAAAGUUGCUGGUGAACGCAGCAGGCCAGGCAGCAUCUCUAGGAAGAGGUACAGCCGACGUUUCGGGCCGAGACCCUUCGUCAGGACUAACUGAAGGAAGAAUCACCUUUCCUAUGGCUGAGUGGAACAAGACCAUCAUUGUACCGACACGACGGCUGAAGGGCCUGUUCCUGUGUUUUUCUGUUCUAUAUUCUACCGUCUUAGACCAGAAAUCUCCAUGUGGGCUUUCCUAUUUCUGAAGAUCAUGUUCUCUCACCUGCCGCUAUUUCCACUUCCCUCUUCACUCAUCUGCACGGGGCUUUUCGUUAAAGAGCUUUGAAACAUCUUGCACCAAAGACUUAGAGAAACACACACUAAUUGUGCCCACAAUCUUACUUGCUGUAGAUGCACCAAUAAAGUUAUACUGCUGCCAGCUGUGUCAGUAGAAAGGUGGGAGGAGGUUUACAGCAAAAGAGGAAGGAAGUCAAAUCAAUAAAACUUUAAACUUUUAACCACCACCAAAUAAAAAGAGUAUAACAUUUCAGCAAUACGGCAUUGAAUGAUCGAUUAAACUGUUUCAUCUUAGAAGUUUCAGGCCUUUGUAAGUCUUAUCUAUUCAUUAAAAAGAAACUCAGCAAGUAGCAGAUCAUGUAUAACAGAACACUGAGAACAUUCCUGCACAAAAAGGUAGAUUGAGAAUGAGCUGCCAAAGCUGAAACCCAGUCUCUUCACUCCCUUGAUACAAACACGUUACAGUAGUUCUGGGACAUUCACUUUAAUUGUUGCUCAAUGAAUGGAUGUGAUGGAUUGAGGCUUAAACCUACAUUGUUUGGAGAUACGGUAUUGCAGAAUUCCCACAGAGGUACCUUACAAAGGGAGACAUAGAACUUUCCCUGGGGAUGAACAUCUAAUA